UUAUCUCUGUAGAGUCUGCAUAUCAAUAAGCGGAGGAAAAGAAACUAACAAGGAUUCCCUUAGUAACGGCGAGUGAAGCGGGAAGAGCUCAAAUUUGAAAUCUUCAAGGUUUUACCUUGACGAAUUGUAGUUCAAAGAAGUGUUUUCUGUUGAAGUUUCGGUAAAAGUUCUUUGGAAUAGGACAUCAUAGAGGGUGAGAAUCCCGUAUUUGACCGUUAUUUUCAGCUGUGUGAUACACUUUCAAAGAGUCGGAUUGUUUGGGAAUGCUGUCCAAAGUGGGUGGUAAAUUUCAUCUAAAGCUAAAUAUUGGCGGGAGACCGAUAGCGAACAAGUACCGUGAGGGAAAGAUGAAAAGAACUUUGAAAAGAGAGUUAAACAGUACGUGAAAUUGUCAAAAGGGAAGCGUUUGACACCAGUGUUGUUUUCUCGAAAAUCAAUUAAAAAUGGCUUGAUUUUGUGUUGUAUUGACCUUAAAAGCUUUCUUCACUUUUUUCAUGUCUUUUUUAAUGCACUUUUCGUUUAACAAGUCAACAUCAGUUUCUUUUGUUGUAAAAAGGUCAUUGGAAGGUGGCUUUCACUUUCGGAUGAAAGUGUUUAUAGCCUUUGGCUUCUGCAAUCGGAGAGAUUGAGGUCUGCAGCGUAGAUCCUUCGGGGUUAGAUACAGUUAGAUGCUAAGUUGUAGCUUUUCAUAGACAACUUGUUGACUAUGUUUAGUCAUGCGGCUUACUCGCUUGUGCUAUUUUACCUACGCUUAGGAUGUGAAGAUGUAGCACAUCAU
rnacentral:rRNA from 1 species